UUUUAUUUUUGUUUAUUUUUUGCUGUCUGCUGGACCAAAACUUUUCCUACCGACAAUGCCACGGAGCCCCGUGUUGCUAGAACAAAGAGCCAAUUCUAUCUGCCACUUUCCUGAUCUAUUUGCAGCUUUUCAUACAACUGAUCGCGACCUCCUACCUGACAGACUCUUUCGGCUGGGCCGCCGGGACACGAUCCUCCUGGUUUCCUGUUACCUCACAACACAUCCAUCUGAGGCAGCAGCAGGGAGCCGCUCGUCACCACCGUUGAUCGGAGACUGGGGCUUUCAGCUCAGGAUCCUACUUGGAUGUUUCUGGUUGCCUUGGCAGAAGAGUAAAAAGCUCUAGAAAAUUAUCACUGGUAAUCAACUGCCUCUAAAGCGAAUUCUCAAAGCUCAGUGGCCAGAACUGUUCGCACGGCUUGAUACGUCCUUAAGACAGCCAGGAAGUGUCAUCCCACUCCAUUCUGAGGGCCGGGAGCUAGAAAUACGUGGUGCUGUCCUGAACACCAUGGGCUCCCAGCAGUGCUCAAGAUAGAAAAGCACAGUCCUCACACCAGCUUGUGAAGCUCUGCAUUAGCAGCCGUCGCCCCCACCUCUCUGGCCUCACCGCCCCCUGCUCUCUCCCUGCUACCAUUACCAUUGCCUCCGAGACGCCUUUCCUCUGCCUGCGUGGCUCUUCCUUCAACGAUCUGUACGAUAAUUCCUUCCCCUCCUACCCUGACCGGUUUACUUCAAAUUGUAAUCCACCCCUUCUCCGUCGCUAAUCCUCACCCUACUCUCUACACGCACACCUGCACAAAAACUUCACGAGGGCAGGGAAGGCAGGGGCCGUGUCUGUUUUGUCCACGGAUGUGCCCCCCACAAGCCAAGCCCAGAUCAGCACCUGCACAAGACAGGAGCUCAGGAAUUGUCGCUUCAGUGAAUGAUCCUCACUAGUGGUCAGGAAAAUACAAAGGAAACCCGCAAAACAUUGCUUCACACCCAUGAGAUGAUAAAGUGUACAAGUGUGACAGUUGCAAGCCCUGAUGAGGAGUUAGUGAGAGGAAACUCCUGCGCUGCUCAAGAGUGCACGCUGGGGGCAGCCACUCUGGGCAAUCUGGCACUCUGGAGUCAAGUCCAAGGUAAGUGCGAAUCAUUACGAUCUGGCAAUUUCACUUCCCGGUGUUCACCUUGAAGAACCCUCAUCCACAUAUGUGCAAGGAGCCAUGCAAAAAGAUGUUCACAACGGCAUUGCUUACAAUAGGGGGAAAAAUGGAAACAACUAGAAUUUCCAUCAGCCAGACACUGGAUAAAUGAUUGUCAUAUCCGAGGGACCAUCGUAAACCAGUUACAAUGAAUUAUUUUAGAAGUAUUGACUUCCAGUGCGAGGAGAUUGGAAGCUGCUUUCAUUCACACAGCAGGAAACCAAGCUGAGAAAUCUGAAAAUGUGCAAUUAUUUUUAGACCUGUCAGAGAACUGAGGUCACAGGGCAAGCUGCCAAAUUGGGAGAGGUGAACUCAAAGGUGCAGAGAAGCACAACUUACCUGAGCAGAAACUCCACGGGAACCAGUACCUGAGAAGGUAUUCUAGUCGACAUAUUGCUGGAGGCUCAGCGUGGAUAAGCUUGAAAGCUAAAAACUCCAGGGGCCCCUCACACUUGUGAGUUUUACCCCCAGGAGCCCUUCCAGAU